rnacentral:rRNA from 1 species
AACUGAGGGUAGCGGAGAAAUUCCAAUCGAACCUGGAGAUAGCUGGUUCUCUCCGAAAUAGCUUUAGGGCUAGCCUCAAGUGAUGAUUAUUGGAGGUAGAGCACUGUUUGGACGAGGGGCCCCUCUCGGGUUACCGAAUUCAGACAAACUCCGAAUGCCAAUUAAUUUAACUUGGGAGUCAGAACAUGGGUGAUAAGGUCCGUGUUCGAAAGGGAAACAGCCCAGACCACCAGCUAAGGUCCCAAAAUAUAUGUUAAGUGGAAAAGGAUGUGGCGUUGCCCAGACAACUAGGAUGUUGGCUUAGAAGCAGCCAUCAUUUAAAGAGUGCGUAAUAGCUCACUAGUCGAGUGACACUGCGCCGAAAAUGUACCGGGGCUAAACAUAUUACCGAAGCUGUGGAUUGUCCUUUGGACAAUGGUAGGAGAGCGUUCUAAGGGCGUUGAAGCAUGAUCGUAAGGACAUGUGGAGCGCUUAGAAGUGAGAAUGCCGGUGUGAGUAGCGAAAGACGGGUGAGAAUCCCGUCCACCGAUUGACUAAGGUUUCCAGAGGAAGGCUCGUCCGCUCUGGGUUAGUCGGGUCCUAAGCUGAGGCCGACAGGCGUAGGCGAUGGAUAACAGGUUGAUAUUCCUGUACCACCUAUA